rnacentral:rRNA from 1 species
UACCAGCACCCCGAGUGGUCGGGACGAUUAUUGGGCCUAAAGCAUCCGUAGCCGGUUCUACAAGUCUUCCGUUAAAUCCACCUGCUUAACAGAUGGGCUGCGGAGGAUACUAUGGAGCUAGGAGGCGGGAGAGGCAAGCGGUACUUAGUGGGUAGGGGUAAAAUCCGUUGAUCCAUUGAAGACCACCAGUGGCGAAGGCGGCUUGCCAGAACGCACUCGACGGUGAGGGAUGGAAAGCUGGGGGAGCAAACCGG